ensembl:lncRNA
GGUUCAUGUUGGCUGAUUAUAAAAAGAGGAGAUGAAGUCAGAGAACAUCACUUUCUUUCACUGCAGUGGACGACUUACAAGCAAAGAAAUACUAUAGACAGGAGCAGAAAAUCAGCAUCACCAUGAUCGCAAAGAUGUUUGUCAUCGUUCUUCUUGUUGUUGCCUGCUGCAACGCAGCGACAACAACCACAACUGCAGCGACAACAACCACAUCUGCAGCGACAACAACCACAUCUGCAGCGACAACAACCACAGCUACAGGGACAACAACCACAGCUGUUCGAACAACAACCACAGCUGCAGCGACAACAACUACAGCUGCUCCAACAACAACCACAGCUGCACCGACAAGAACUACAGCUGCGACAACAACAACCACAGCUGCACCAACAACAACUACAGCUGUUCCAACAACAACCACAGCUGUUCCAACAACAACCACAACUGCAGCGACAACAACCACAGCUGCUCCAACAACAACCACAGCUGCACCGACAACAACUACAGUUGCGACAACAACAACCACAGCUGCUCCAACAACAACUACAGUUGCAGCGACAACAACUACAGCUGUUCCAACAACAACCACAGCUGCUCCAACAACAACCACAGCUGCACCGACAACAACUACAGUUGCGACAACAACAACUACAGUUGCAGCAACAACAACUACAGCUGCACCGACAACAACUACAGCUGCGACAACAACAACCACAGCUGCUCCAACAACAACUACAGUUGCAGCGACAACAACUACAGCUGUUCCAACAACAACCACAACUGCUCCAACAACAACCACAGCUGCCCCAACAACAACCACAGCUGCUCCAACAACAACCACAACUGCAGCGACAACAACCACAGCUGCUCCAACAACAACCACAGCUGCUCCAACAACAACCACAACUGCACCAACAACAACCACAGCUGCUCCAACAACAACCACAGCUGCAGGGACAACAACCACAGCUGCUCCAACAACAACCACAGUUGCAGCAACAACAACUACAGCUGCUCCAACAACAACCACAGCUGCACCAACAACAACCACAGCUGCACCAACAACAACCACAGCUGCUCCAACAACAACCACAGCUGCUAGGACAACAACCACAGCUGCUCCAACAACAACUACAGUUGCAGAAACAACAACUACAGUUGCAGCAACAACAACUACAGCUGCACCAACAACAACCACAACUGCAGCGACAACAACCACAGCUGCUCCAACAACAACCACAGCUGCACCAACAACAACCACAGCUGCUCCAACAACAACCACAGCUGCAGGGACAACAACCACAGCUGCUCCAACAACAACUACAGUUGCAGCAACAACAACUACAGCUGCACCGACAACAACUACAGCUGCGACAACAACAACCACAGCUGCUCCAACAACAACUACAGUUGCAGCGACAACAACUACAGUUGCAGCAACAACAACUACAGCUGCACCGACAACAACUACAGCUGCACCGACAACAACUACAGCUGCGACAACAACAACCACAGUUGCAGCAACAACAACUACAGUUGCUCCAACAACAACCACAGCUGCACCAACAACAACCACAGCUGCACCAACAACAACCACAGCUGCUGGGACAACAACCACAGCUGCUGGGACAACAACCACAGCUGCUCCAACAACAACUACAGUUGCAGAAACAACAACUACAGUUGCAGCAACAACAACUACAGCUGCACCAACAACAACCACAGCUGCAGGGACAACAACCACAGCUGCUCCAACAACAACUACAGUUGCAGCAACAACAACUACAGUUGCUGCAACAACAACUACAGCUGCACC